rnacentral:lncRNA from 1 species
GUUUUGUUGUAAUCCAGAAAUCUUAAAUUGUCACUCUCUAAUGGAACAAGAAAUGGGUAUUCUAAAUUCAUAAAGAUUUAUAAACAUUCACUGCUGCCAGCUGACAGAUAUAUGCAUCACCUGCGGUUUUCUCAUUCUUCAGUUCUCUCCUAUGAGCCAUGGGAAAAUGAUGUUCUUGCACCCUUCCUGCAGGGGUGAGAAAUCUUAAGAAGGUCAAGUUAGAGAGUCUAAGUGAACUGGAUGACUGAAAAUGAACCAGCGGGGAAGAACAAACCACUUAAUUUGAUAAAUCACGACACAAAAAUAUUGCACAGGAGAUUCCAUUGUGGAUCAUUACUUGCCUUGUGUUUGACAGGGUAGGCACUGGAUGGUUUUAUUGUAGGGCCCAGGACCUGUUGUGUGGCAUCAGAGUAAUGUAAAAUAUUCUGGUUUUGAAUAGUCAGUCCAAGACAAAGGGGUUGUCAGAAAACACUUUUUCUUCCUCAGGGGAGAAGCUGAUGUUUUAUUACAAAAAGCAAUACCCUCCACCCAUACGGAAGCAACACAUAAACCUCUUAAAACUGCAUUUUGGGAUACUGCCUGCAAAGAAGAAAGUUAGCAUUCAGUCCUGAAAAUGGCUUAAAGAGACCCUGGUGGCAGCAGUGGGCAGCGAGCACAUCCAGCUCUGGAGUGCAGAAUGUGGGGAUGCCACCAGGGAUUGAAACAGAAGAGUACUGGAAGAAACAUUUCGUUAUUAAUCAGGCAUAAUAUGCCAGUGGGGGAAAUUAUUAUUCCAGGGACAAGUGAUGCAACCACCAGUGAUUUUAUGCUUCUUCCUAUGCAUAUAGGCAGUGCUGUGCUAUACUUAGAAUAAUAAAUUGAAGUGGUCAGAGAUGAAUUAAUAUAUAUAUUAGCUUAUCUGCCUGGUGACUUUCUUGCUUUAUAACCAGUUUUAAUUGACAAAGGUUAGCUUUAGCCUCAGGUUAGUUUUCCUCUUUAACCAGUGGAGGGGGAAAGGGCAAUUCAGUACAAAAAGCUGACAGAAGUGUUGAUAAGUCAGCCUGAAGCUUUUUAAAAGGAAAAA